rnacentral:rRNA from 1 species
AUUGAACGCUGGCGGCAGGCCUAACACAUGCAAGUCGAGCGAGCGGCGGACGGGUGAGUAAUCUCUGGGUAACCGCCUGCUGGGGGGGGAUAACCACUGGCAAAGGUAGUUAAUACCGCAUAUCAUCCGAUGGGCCUAGGUCGGAUUAGCUCGUUGGUGGGGUAACGGCUCACCCAGGCGACGAUCCCUAGCUGGUCUGAGAGGAUGACCAGCCACACUGGAACUGAGACACGGCCCAGACUCCUACGGGAGGCAGCAGUGGGGAAUAUUGCACAAUGGGGGCAAGCCUGAUGCAGCCAUGCCGCGUGUGGGAAGAAGGCCUUCGGGUUGUAAAGCACUUUCAGCGGGGAGGCGUUACCCGCAGAAGAAGCACCGGCUAACUCCGUGCCAGCAGCCGCGGUAAUUC